UACAGAGGGGGCAAGCGUUGUUCGGAAUUACUGGGCGUAAAGGGCGCGUAGGCGGCCUGCUAAGUCGAACGUGAAAUCCCCGAGCUCAACUCGGGAACUGCGUCCGAUACUGGCAGGCUUGAAUCCGGGAGGGGGAUGCGGAAUUCCAGGUGUAGCGGUGAAAUGCGUAGAUAUCUGGAGGAACACCGGUGGUGAAGGCGGCAUCCUGGACCGGCAUUGACGCUGAGGCGCGAAAGCCAGGGGAGCAAACGGG
rnacentral:rRNA from 1 species